AAUCUUCUGGAAACUUUCUGGCA
rnacentral:piRNA from 1 species